UACGAAGGGGGCUAGCGUUGCUCGGAAUCACUGGGCGUAAAGCGCACGUAGGCGGAUCUUUAAGUCAGGGGUGAAAUCCCGGAGCUCAACUCCGGAACUGCCUUUGAUACUGAAGAUCUUGAGUUCGGGAGAGGUGAGUGGAACUGCGAGUGUAGAGGUGAAAUUCGUAGAUAUGGGGAGGAACACCGGUGGCGAAGGCGGCCACCUGGACGGUAACUGACGCUGAGGCGCGAAAGCGUGGGGAGCAAACAGG
rnacentral:rRNA from 1 species